CUACUCCGUGCCAUCUACAAGCCUGAACAAACCAUUCAUCCAAAAUCCCUCUAGAUUUUCCAGAAUAAGCUCUCAAAGUACCCUUCACGAAAUUGCUCAAAACUCUUGGGUCAAAUUUCAUUUUAACAAACCAGGGCAAGUUAGGCUCUCAAAUCUUCUUCUUUAUGUUCAUAAACAUCCCAGAACGUGAUUCCUAAGCCCUUGCACCAUAACCUUCCCUAAUCACUGAGUUCUUGAGCUUCUAAGUUUGCUCAAAACUUUCUCAACUCAUAUCUCUCAAACCACUCAACCAAAUCCAAAUAUUUUUGCAUAUUUGAGCUCCUGGGAAGAAGUAGAAUCGAUCUGGGCGAAUAACGUCAAGUUUGGACGUCUCCGGCGACAUCUCCGCCGCGAAACUCACCGCCGGCCGCCGUGAAAGCCACAGAUUCCGGCGAGAAGCUUCAAAGCUUCGUUUUUCACGUUUUUCCAGAAACUUUCGACGUUUAUCGGUUUAAUCUGCAAAUAACAAACGGUACUAAGGAGAAUACCCCUAGUUCGGAGGAGUAUUAAGUAUGCUAGGAUUGUCUCUGAGCUUUGUGAAGUCUUGAAAUAAAUCGGGUUUCGUUUUCCCGCUUUUGAACUCUAUGGUAUUAUGUUGAAUAAUCUUGUAAUAUAUUCGAACUCGCUACGAGCUUAUGUAAUAUUAUUAAGGGUUGGGUAUUAAUGUAAUAUAUGCCAGUAAGUCAGAAGUACUUGCUUUCUCGA